rnacentral:tRNA from 1 species
GCAUCUGUGGCGGAAUUGGUAGACGCGCUAGACUCAAAAUCUGGUGUCCGCAAGGGCUUAAGGGUUCAAGUCCCUUCAGAUGUA